rnacentral:sRNA from 12 species
CCGAUAAGUACUGUAAAGCUUAUCAAUUAAUAUUAGUGUCUUUACAUUUGUAGAGACACUAAUACUAGUUAGUGCCGAAAGUUAUUAAACCGAAUGGAUUUAGUAGGUAAUUAAGUUGAAUUGACAACUUCCCUCAAGUGCUAUAUGCCGUAGGGUGGAAAAACAACGUGCCACUGAUCA